UAUUGGACAAUGGGCGAAAGCCUGAUCCAGCCAUUCCGCGUGUGUGAAGAAGGUCUUCGGAUUGUAAAUCAUUUUAAGUUGGGAGGAAGGGGUUGAAUCUAAUACCUUUAUUCGUUGACGUUACCAAUAGAAUAAGCACCGGCUAACUCUGUUCCAGCUGCCGCGGUAAUACAGAGGGUGCAAGCGUUAAUCGGAAUUACUGGGCGUAAAGCGAGCGUAGGUGGUUCAGUAAGAUAGAAGUGAAAUCCCCGGGCUUAACCUGGGAACUGCUUUCAUAACUGCUGAGCUAGAGUACGGUAGAGGGUAGUGGAAGUUCCUGUGUAGCGGUGAAAUGCGUAGAUAUAGGAAGGAACACCAGUGGCGAAGGCGACUACCUGGACUGAUACUGACACUGAGGUGCGAAAGCGUGGGGAGCAAACAGG
rnacentral:rRNA from 1 species